UCUUCCUCUCUACUUUCUUCCAAGAUUCCAAACACUCAUCAUGUAAGAAAGCACAACUCCAUGGGACAAACACGGUGAGGAACAAGCCAUUCACUCAUUCAUUACAGCAACCUCACCAAAAGGGAAAACCCUCAAAUUCAUUCCACCCACUCAAUUGCAUGCUAUUCUAUUUUAUUCUAUUCUAAUCUAUGCUAUUCUGUUUCCACCCCAUUGCUUAUACAUACUCUAAUUCUACUCUCUCUUCCAUGGAUGGCAAUGCUCUAUUGACCCUCAAUGACUACUGGCCUCAG
rnacentral:lncRNA from 1 species